AUUGAACGCUGGCGGCAGGCUUAACACAUGCAAGUCGAGCGGGGUGAUGGUGCUUGCACUAUCACUUAGCGGCGGACGGGUGAGUAAUGCUUAGGAAUCUGCCUAUUAGUGGGGGACAACAUCUCGAAAGGGAUGCUAAUACCGCAUACGUCCUACAGGAGAAAGCAGGGGAUCACUUGUGACCUUGCGCUAAUAGAUGAGCCUAAGUCGGAUUAGCUAGUUGGUGGGGUAAAGGCCUACCAAGGCGACGAUCUGUAGCGGGUCUGUGAGGAUGAUCCGCCACACUGGGACAGAGACACGGCCCAGACUCCUACGGGGGGCAGCAGUGGGGAAUAUUGGACCAUGGGGGGAACCCUGAUCCAGCCAUGCCGCGUGUGUGAAGAAGGCCUUAUGGUUGUAAAGCACUUUAAGCGAGGAGGAGGCUCUUUUGGUUAAUACCCAAGAUGAGUGGACGUUACUCGCAGAAUAAGCACCGGCUAACUCUGUGCCAGCCGCCGCGGUAA
rnacentral:rRNA from 1 species